rnacentral:misc_RNA from 1 species
AGAACAGGGAGGUGAACUGAUGGACCAGCAGACAUUCCCCGCCGGCGUCAGGAGGUCGGUGCCAACCGUGAACGGCGGAGCAGAUCGAUCGAGAAACUGAGGGAUACCUACCCGGCAUAGUUCGAAAAAGAAGAGGGAACGGCCCAUUGAGCCUCCUCUGCAUCUUGGCGGAGAAGGCGUCAGUGGUGGCGUACACGGGUUACGAAAAUUUGGAUCACCCCUAUCAUAACAAGUCCGAAGAAAACGAACGGUGCCGCCUCAUCGUGGAGCGAACGGAAGUCUUGUGGGGAUCCAUGGUUUGGAAGGGAGUCUUUUGCUGUGGGCGACGGCGCACUUUGUGCUCAGUCAACAAACGGCGCACAAAGUGCGAAACACGCUGUGGUUUGUGUGUAUCCAUGUGCUCCACACACCAUUCAAUGCUGAGCGCCAGCCACCUGUAUAGCCGCGAAGGCUGAGGUCGAGAAGCUGGCAAAAGAGUGAAGCUGAGCUGACGUGGAGUCGAUCCCCCCCCCCCCCGAC